GGAUAUAGCUCAGUUGGUAGAGUGCUUGCUUCGUAUGCACAAGCCACUGAGUUCAAUCCCCAGCACCA
rnacentral:tRNA from 1 species